AUGCUGUUUAUCUACAGGCCUCACUUUGAGCACCAAGACGUUAGACACGAUGACACUGUGGAUUUUAAUAAGUCAGCUUGGAUUCUCAGUGGAAUAGCGGGACCUGAUGGUGCCUUUGGAAAGCAGUUUCAGAGGGACGCGGGUAAAGAAGACACCAGCCAAGGAAUGGCCCCUUGGGGGGCCAGCAAAUGCUUCAAAAAGACAGACUGGCCUCCUGAGUCCAGAGCUGAUGCACGUCGAGGCCGUCAAGGAAGGUGUCCAGAGUCUCGAAAAGGCUGCUGUGAGAAGCAGGCAAGGGUCCCGCUCUCGGAGUUCGUUCUGUGCAACUCUGCUUUCAGCGGCUUUCGGCAUUGGGCAUCUGCUCCUGUUUUGCUGAAAGUCAAGAAGAGUCCAAAGCUUAAAAAAAGUGAGUUAGGUUCAUCUGAGUUAUUCUCCCUGGGUUUUCUACACUGCGGAAAACUGACUAAAUCCACUCGGCAUGUCUCACCCGCUGCAGUCCAGUGCUUGGAACAUGUGGACCCGAUGACAUGGGGGCGGCUCUCACAAGCCUCUCUCAGAGCAGCUGGCUGGACGCCCUCCUCCUAGACGCCCCGUCACUACUGCAGCAAAUUAAAUGUCUCUCUCUUUCUAAUCACUUCCCAAACUGAUUGCAGAUUUUUUUUUUUUUUUUUUUUUUUUUGCUAUUUCUUUGGCCGCUCCCGCGGCAUAUGGAGGUUCCCAGGCUAGGGGUCGAAUCGGAGCUGUGGCCACCAGCCUACGCCAGAGCCACAGCAACGAAGGAUCCGAGCCGCGUCUGCAAUCUACACCACAGCUCACGGCAACGCCGGAUCGUCAACCCACUGAGCAAGGGCAGGGAUCGAACCCUCAACCUCAUGGUUCCUAGUCGGAUUCGCCAACCACUGCGCCAUGACGGGAACUCCCCCAAACUGAUUGCAGAUUUAUGCCGCUCGGGACGUGUGUUUAGAAUAGAAGGUGAGGAGUUCCCGUCGUGGCACAGUGGUUAACGAAUCCGACUAGGAACCAUGAGGUUGCGGGUUCGAUCCCUUGCCCUUGCUCAGUGGGUUAAGGAUCCGGCGUUGCCGUGAGCUGUGGUGUGGGUUGCAGAUGCAGCUCGGAUCCUGCGUUGCUGUGGCUCUGGCAUAGGCUGGUAGCUACAGCUCUGAUUAGACCCCUAGCCUGGGAACCUCCAUAUGCUGCGGGAGCAGCCCAAGAAAUGGCAAAAAGACAAAAAAAAAAAAAAGAAGAAGUUGAUCCUUCCUUUGGGAACUGGCGCUGGGAGAACUAGUUGGAAAAAGAUGGAAGAAAAUCACGGCUGUUCUAGAACAAGCAAAGGACCCAAAGUGCAGAGGUCUCUCGGGGAUGGAUGGAGGAGGUGACGGCAGGGGUUCUGCGCUUCCUGGAGGGCAAAGUCGUAGCCAGGAUGUAAAGCGGGGCGAUGGAAGCGGAGGAAAUAAGACCGAGGAAGAGGCUAAUUUUACCCCCGAGCUGGCUGGUCAGGAAGGCCUGAUUACAGCUGGGAAAUUACCUUCUUUUGAUUCUCAUGCAUUUAAUGGGGCUGUAGAGAAAGAGUCUUGGGCGCCCUGGC
ensembl:lncRNA